rnacentral:sRNA from 1 species
UUUUAGUUUAAUAUUUUCCGUUUCACCCUGCCAGGAUUUUAAACCCUGGCAGGGUGAAACGGAAAAUAAAAUAUAUC